GGAUUUGAUUGAGGUAGGACGUAGAUUUGAUUUAAGUUUAACAUCUCUCCUCUCCUUUUCAUUUUCUCGCCCAUCCCCUCUUGCCAUCCUACUAUCCCCUCCAUUCUCACUUUCUAAAUCUUCUUCGUCUCUCUCCUCUUUUUUCUGUAUCUCACCAUUUUUUCUCUCUCUUCUUUUUGCUUCAAGAAGCAAUUCAAGCGGUGAGAGCUCGGUGAAAUCAGUUAGCAAACUGCAAAACCCCCUUCAGACGUUCGAUAAUAGGACAGUUAUUAUGAUUUUUUUAGGGAAACUGUGAGGAGGAAGAAAAGAAUGUAGGAGGAAGAAAAAUUAGGGAAUCUAUGGUGGUUGUGGUGAGGAGAGAGAGAGGUGCAGUAAGAGGAGCAGGUGGAGCGAAGGAGGAGACCGAAUGAAGCAGGGAGAAGGAAGAAAAAUGGAGGAGGUAUGAGCAAAUUUUUCUCUGCCUUAAUUUUUCAAUUUUCUUUAGUUGGAUUUAGGAGUGAGGAGAGAGAAAUCCAUUUUUUGCGUCGUCAAAUGGUGUUGGCAGUCAAGGUGGAGGAGAUGGUGAGGAAGAUAAAGAAUUUUAUACUAUAUUUGGAAUUAUUCAGGAAAAUCCCUAAUUUGAUGUUUUAUUGUGCUAAGGCAGCAGAGAAAUCCAACGUUUUCCUCUGAAGCGUGCUAGUUUGCUCUAUUUUUUUCUUCGAUAUUUUCAGACGUGAAACCAAACAGUCUUCUUGAAUUUCAGUUUUCGCUGAUAAAUUUGAAUUUUCCUGUUAAAUUUAUUUGCGGUUUACUAGGGUUUUGUUCUGGAGGGCAAAAGAAGCAUUUCUCAACUGGAAUGUAUAGUUGGGCUAUAAAGAAACUACAUGACUUCUCAUGGAUACUGACAAAGUGACAAAUCUGGGGUAACAUUCGAGCAAGGUGUCUUGGAUGAAACGUGAGACAUGGUUUUCACAUCAUUUAGUGAAAAGUGUGAGAACAUUAUUCAAGCUCCCAUCUGCUGAAAUUUACUCACGGUAAAGACGAGACAGGGGUUGUAUAUAUAGCAAGUACCUAAACAUUUUCUUCUACGCAAAAGCAAAAGAGAUGGGCUCUUAUGUUAUCUUAUGACACGUCUCAAGUUUGAUGGCAUUCAUUCUUGCAGGUUAGCUUAUUAUAUUCAUGGAUUAGGAUUUAAGGAUAAUACACCUCAUGAGUAUCAUAAAAUAUAUGGGUGUGGAUUAUUAACUCUCCAUUUUUAGUUGAUAUGAGAGUAAUCAUCAUUUUUUUCAUGCAAAUUGGUCCUCCCAACUCCCUAUCAAGGAUCCAAUAUCUUACUUGGAACUUUGGGUUACAAAGUCCAAAAAAGGGAAUGCCUUGUAGAUUUAGGUCUAGCACCCUAUUUUGAGACUAGGUUUAACACUUUUUUUCCAAUUAGGUCACUUCAUAUUGAAGGCGAUAAUCUGCUGGUAGUUAAUGCUGUGCUAGGGAAAUGUGCUAUUUCCAGGCAGAUUGAUCACCUAAUACGAGACAUUCGGGUCCUUCUCCGCUCUUUCUCCUCAUGGACACUGCAGCAUAUUUAUCGCGAGGCGAAUCAAGUAGCUGAUUGGGUUGCAAAUGUGGGUCACUUGGUCGAUUCUUCUUUUGUAAUAGCUUCUUGUCCUAAUUCGGCUUUACAUUCCAUCCUUGUAAACGAUAUAUUAGGUCCACCCCUAGUGCGGAGGGUCUCUUAAUAUGCUUUCUUCUUAUCUAAAAAAAAAAAAAAAAAUUAGGUUUAUUAUUAAUGAUAUUUUUUCUUCCUGUCAAAAAAAAUGAACACACUCUUGUCCUUUUGUGUUGCUAAAAUUUGUGUUCCUGGAAGCCA